UUUUUUUUUUUACUUGUUUAAAGGUUAUCAACCUGAAGUACAAUCUACAUUACAACCUUAAUUGGGACCUAAAUGGAAUGUAAACUGAAACCCAUUUAAAGGAAAACUAAAUGAAGAUUGGAGUUGUCCCUUUGCGUUCUUCAGACCAGGCUUUUUUCAAGUUUAAGCAAGAACUAGGUGAAACAUUGACAUAACUUGACACUCAUCAAGGACAGUUUUGUGAUG